rnacentral:rRNA from 1 species
UACGUAGGGGGCUAGCGUUGUCCGGAAUCAUUGGGCGUAAAGAGCGUGUAGGCGGCCCGGUAAGUCCGCUGUAAAAGUCAAAGGCUCAACCUUUGAAUGUCAGUGGAUACUGCCGGGCUAGAGUCCGGAAGAGGCGGGUGGAACUCCUGGUGUAGCGGUGGAAUGCGCAGAUAUCAGGAAGAACACCAACGACGAAGGCAGCUCGCUGGGACGGUACUGACGCUGAGACGCGAAAGCGUGGGGAGCGAACAGG